CUGACACAGGGAGGUAGUGACAAUAAAUAACAAUGCCGGGCUCUUUCGAGUCUGGCAAUUGGAAUGAGAACAAUUUAAAUCCCUUAUCGAGGAUCAAUUGGAGGGCAAGUCUGGUGCCAGCAGCCGCGGUAAUUCCAGCUCCAAUAGCGUAUAUUAAAGUUGUUGCAGUUAAAAAGCUCGUAGUUGGAUUUCUGGUGGGCGCGACCGGUCCGCCCCGCAAGGGGUGAGCACUGGCGUCGCCGUCCGCCAUCUUUGGGGAGAGGGCGUUGGGCAUUCAGUUGUUCGGCGUCGGAUCCCCAUCGUUUACUGUGAGAAAAUUAGAGUGUUCAAAGCAGGCUUACGCCUUGAAUACAUUAGCAUGGAAUAAUAGUCGAGGCUUUCGGUCUGACUUGUUGGUUUUGCAGCCCGAGAGAAUGAUUCAAUAGGGAUAGUUGGGGGUAUUCGUAUUCAAUUGUCAGAGGUGAAAUUCUUGGA
rnacentral:rRNA from 1 species